rnacentral:lncRNA from 1 species
UCAUAUUUCUACAUUUUUAUUUUUAAAUUUCUAAUUUCAUUAAAAAUAAAAUUAAACAUUACAAUAAUUUAAAGACAUAAUUUAAAUACAAUAAAAAAAUAAAAAUUACACUAAUUUUCUAGGACUCAAUCGGACCAAAACGAGACCAAAUGUAUUUUUAAUUCAAAUUUCAUUAAAAUUUAAAUUAAACAUUGCAAUAAAAAUAAAAAUUACAUAAUUUAAAUAAUAAAAAAAUUACAUAAUUUAAAUAAUUAAGAUUUU